GAUGAAGAACGCAGCGAAAUGCGAUAAGUAAUGUGAAUUGCAGAAUUCAGUGAAUCAUCGAAUCUUUGAACGCACAUUGCGCCCGCCAGCAUUCUGGCGGGCAUGCCUGUUCGAGCGUCAUUUCAACCCUCAAGCUCUGCUUGGUGUUGGGGCCCUACGGUUGACGUAGGCCCUUAAAGGUAGUGGCGGACCCUCUCGGAGCCUCCUUUGCGUAGUAACUAACGUCUCGCAUUGGGAUUCGGAGGGACUCUUGCCGUAAAACCCCCAAAUUUUCUAAUGGUUGACCUCGGAUCAGGUAGGAAUACCCGCUGAACUUAAGCAUAUCAAUAACGGAGA
rnacentral:misc_RNA from 1 species